rnacentral:rRNA from 1 species
UCGACGAACUCUGGUAUUGAUUGGUGCUUGCAUCAUGAUUUACAUUUGAGUGAGUGGCGAACUGGUGAGUAACACGUGGGAAACCUGCCCGGAAGCGGGGGAUAACACCUGGAAACAGAUGCUAAUACCGCAUAACAACUUGGACCGCAUGGUCCGAGUUUGAAAGAUGGCUUCGGCUAUCACUUUUGGAUGGUCCCGCGGCGUAUUAGCUAGAUGGUGGGGUAACGGCUCACCAUGGCAAUGAUACGUAGCCGACCUGAGAGGGUAAUCGGCCACAUUGGGACUGAGACACGGCCCAAACUCCUACGGGAGGCAGCAGUAGGGAAUCUUCCACAAUGGACGAAAGUCUGAUGGAGCAACGCCGCGUGAGUGAAGAAGGGUUUCGGCUCGUAAAACUCUGUUGUUAAAGAAGAACAUAUCUGAGAGUAACUGUUCAGGUAUUGACGGUAUUUAACCAGAAAGCCACGGCUAACUACGUGCCAGCAGCCGCGGUAAUACGUAGGUGGCAAGCGUUGUCCGGAUUUAUUGGGCGUAAAGCGAGCGCAGGCGGUUUUUUAAGUCUGAUGUGAAAGCCUUCGGCUCAACCGAAGAAGUGCAUCGGAAACUGGGAAACUUGAGUGCAGAAGAGGACAGUGGAACUCCAUGUGUAGCGGUGAAAUGCGU